rnacentral:rRNA from 1 species
UACGAAGGGGACUAGCGUUGUUCGGAAUUACUGGGCGUAAAGCGCACGUAGGCGGAUUGUUAAGUGAGGGGUGAAAUCCCAGGGCUCAACCCUGGAACUGCCUCUCAUACUGGCAAUCUUGAGUUCGGAAGAGGUAAGUGGAAUUGCGAGUGUAGAGGUGAAAUUCGUAGAUAUUCGCAGGAGCACCAGUGGCGAAGGCGGCUUACUGGUCCGAAACUGACGCUGAGGUGCGAAAGCGUGGGGAGCAAACAGG